CGAGCAGAAUAAAUUAUAUUUCGCGUCCGCGCAUCGAUGAAGAUUCGCGGUCGAUCCAACAACCCUGUUUUCUAAGAUGUUCGCGUAACGAAACACCAAGGCCUACUCUUUGUCCUCUGGCAAACACAAGACAGGAGCUCUUCACGUCCGCCGAUCGCUAAGUGGAAGAAUCAUCGCGAUGGAAGGAAAGCUUCUCCUUGUAGCGGACUACGACGUUCUAAUGGUCAUUAUCAUUUCCAAACAUCACGGCCUGCCUUCUCCGGCCGAGGAAUACGCCAGUUGUUUGCAUAGGUUGCAAGUGUUCGCGUAGAGGCUCCUCCAGUGGCUAGUGCUUUGUAAACCUAUCCUAGCUAACUAAGCCACUGUGUACCUAGUGUGUUCUUUCGGUAAUGCGAUACGAACUCGCGUGUUUCGUGGUUCAUUUUUGAUAUAAAUAUCGAGAGUUCGAAAAAAGAACGACUCAAGGAAACGAUGGAAAUUUUUCAAGAAACUCUCGUGGGAUGAAAAUGGAAAUCUUCCAAGUAUUAAUUCUGGCAAACACGUCAACGAGACGCUAACGAUUAAUCAGCCGAUCGGCUGAUUUUCCAGCUGGAUACCACCCAACGACCAGAAUGUACGUAACAAUGUUUCUCGUAAUUACAAUUGUACGAGGAGGAUUCAAAAGAUGAGUGAUCGUCGCGUCUGUAUUAGCGAGCGACGUAAAGCGAGCGUAUUCGCGUGAAAAGUUCGCCACGAGGCCGGUUUGUUAAAGAGUUAAUGAGGCUUGUGUUUCUGACAAAGAGUAUACGCCAUGGAAAUCAGUCACGCAUUGUCCGCUAAUACUUUACGAGGCAACCGAGCGUGGGCCUGGACUGACAGUCAUGGCUGUUUCAAAACGACAGCUAAGGAGAUUGCUUAUCCAUUCCCGGUUGCGUCCUCAUCGGCCAGACUUUAUCGCCUUGACGAACGGCUAACGCGAAAUUACACAGGAUCCUUUCGUUUAUUCGAAACAACUACGUAACAUCUCGUUUGCUGAUAAGCUUCGUAAGAAUAAAGGGAAUAAUUCUACUCGUAGAGUUGACACGGCAAGUUGAAAGGAAUACAAAUUUUUUAAGUAAACUUAAUUACUCGACAUUGAUUACCGACCACUUCGAUCUCGUUAACGUCGACAACGUCUACUGGAAGAAAACGAAGGCUGUUCGAGGAAAACGGUAGCAGAGGGGUAACAUUUGUCCUCUGUCAGGAAAGUUUUGGUGCCGGUUUUAAUAGAAGAAUAAACACCGCCUGCUCCGACAGUUUUUCCAUAGAGAGGAUACGUCGGUGCUCGUACGCAAACAAUGCCAGUCUAACUGGUGAACGUUGCUCGAUAAACAAAUACAGCCAGAAACCUGCAUUUACACUUGGCCCCCGUGUCAAUGGGACAGUUCGAAAGAAUUCUGAUCAACCGUGACGAUCCUACCUUUAUCUCAACAAUCGAGCCUUUCUUUUAUUAUAUUCUUCCGGCCGAUGCAUUAUGUAUUCACUGGAAAUAUCGUUAAACGAAGGUAAACAAUGUCUACUGUCAAAGAAGAAAAUAAAUUACAGCCCAUUAUACGAAA